UUUUUUGGCCGUAAAACGCCUCGAAAGCCACUAAUGUUGCCAGAAACUGGGUAAGAUUCAAAUGGAUAUAACUUCUUCAAUACUUAACGAAAUUGGAUGAAAAAAAAAAAAGUUGUAUUACUCAGUGAGACAAAGAGAUUGAUACCUUGCACACAGGCCAACUCGCCGUAAUUUGGCCGGAAAAUGCUUCGAAAGUGGCGGUGCUCGUCGAAAAAUUUAGAAAAGCUACUCCAAGCUAUUUUUUGCGAUUCAAACGUAUACACCACUUAAAACAAGCUUCAAUAUAACCCUAAAACACAACUCAAGGGCUUCUAGAAGCUUACCAACGUCGAAACGAUACGAAACUCGACGGAGAAGAUGAUGAACAGUACCGACCGAAAGGAAGAGAAGGGUUUGGGGGUGUUCUUUCUUCGAUUCUAAGCUCACUAGGGUGCUAAUGGAAAUGUUGAUGUUGUUGUGGUGAUGUUUGUUGGUAAGAAAAGCUCUCGGAGGGGCUGAGAUAGAGAGAGCCGAGAGAGAGAGAUGAGGGAGAGUGAGGGAGAAGAGAGAAAGAGGAAGAUUUUCAUAAAAAUAAAAGAAAAAGGAAAGGGAACGGGGACAAAACAGGGGGUGGGCUCUUUGGACACAUCAUUUAAGACCUAAAAAUCAUUUUAAAAGCAAGAUAAACUCAAACUUAGUGAAAAUACAAUUUAAAUUAGGGGUGUGUGUAACAUAGCAUCAUGUGAAAACAACUAUAUAAGGAACAUUGGUAUCAUGUAAAUUUUUGUUAUUAAAUGCAUAGGAAUCAUGACAUUUAAAUUUUUUUCCAAAUCCCCAUAAGGUAUUUGAAGACAUUUAAUUGAAUGAAAUAAUGUAAGAUAAAUGUAGAUAAUAAGUGAGAGACCCAAAGUAGUGUUAUUAGGGGUAAUUUAGACAUCCAAAAAUACCAUAGUGAAGGAAAGAAUUCUAUUUGCUAUAGAAAAAUUAUAGUUUUGAUACCUUACAAAGGUAAUUUGUUUUAAAAGAUUGAAAGCCAGCGGUUUUCAAUCUUGAAAUUCCACAGCAUCCUUUGAAAAAUAGCGACCAUGAUCGGAUAGAACUA
rnacentral:lncRNA from 1 species